UACAGAGGGUGCAAGCGUUGUUCGGAAUUAUUGGGCGUAAAGGGCGUGUAGGCGGUUUGUUAAGUCAUGUGUGAAAUCCCUCGGCUCAACCGGGGAACGACGCAUGAAACUGGCAAGCUAGAGUACCAAAGAGGGGGGUGGAAUUCCCGGUGUAGCGGUGAAAUGCGUAGAUAUUGGGUGGAACACCGGUGGCGAAAGCGGCUCACUGGCUCGGUUCUGACGCUGAGGCGCGAAAGCGUGGGGAGCAAACAGG
rnacentral:rRNA from 1 species